rnacentral:rRNA from 1 species
GAUGAACGCUGGCGGCGUGCCUAAUACAUGCAAGUCGAGCGAACAGAUAAGGAGCUUGCUCCUUUGACGUUAGCGGCGGACGGAUGAGUAACACGUGGGUAACCUACCUAUAAGACUGGGAUAACUUCGGGAAACCGGAGCUAAUACCGGAUAAUAUUUCGAACCGCAUGGUUCGAUAGUGAAAGAUGGUUUUGCUAUCACUUAUAGAUGGACCCGCGCCGUAUUAGCUAGUUGGUAAGGUAACGGCUUACCAAGGCGACGAUACGUAGCCGACCUGAGAGGGUGAUCGGCCACACUGGAACUGAGACACGGUCCAGACUCCUACGGGAGGCAGCAGUAGGGAAUCUUCCGCAAUGGGCGAAAGCCUGACGGAGCAACGCCGCGUGAGUGAUGAAGGUCUUCGGAUCGUAAAACUCUGUUAUUAGGGAAGAACAUACGUGUAAGUAACUGUGCACGUCUUGACGGUACCUAAUCAGAAAGCCACGGCUAACUACGUG